GUCCACGCCGUAAACGAUGGAUGCUAGGUGUGGGCGGUGUCGACUCCGUCCGUGCCGAAGCUAACGCAUUAAGCAUCCCGCCUGGGGAGUACGGCCGCAAGGCUAAAACUCAAAGGAAUUGACGGGGGCCCGCACAAGCAGCGGAGCAUGCUGUUUAAUUCGAAGCAACGCGAAGAACCUUACCUGGGCUUGACAUGUAUUCGAAAUCCUGGGAAACCAGGCCCCCAGCAAUGGCGGAUACACAGGUGGUGCAUGGCUGUCGU
rnacentral:rRNA from 1 species